UGGCUGGUGCUGGCUGCACCCAGGAACGUUCGGGAAACCUCGCUGCUGCUGAUGCCCAGAGACUGUGGCUGGGUGCCAGCCCCACCCAGAAGAAGUUCAAGCACUCGUGUAGCAGCAACGUUUCAGGGAUUAUGGUGUCCCAAAGUGUACUCCCUGGACCAGCAGCAUCAGCAUCACCGGGGAAUCUGAGAAAUGCAAAUUCUCGGUGCCACCUGAGACCUACUGAAUCAGAAACCCUGGGGGUGUCUCCCCGAACUCCAUGUUAACAAGGCUUCCAGAUGAUUCAGACGCAUGCUCGAGGUUGGAAACCACUGUUUCAAUAGACUAUUUUCUUUCUGUAGACUUAUCUCCUUUCCCAAACCACAGUGGAUGAGUUGGAGCACCAAUGCUAAGAAAGAACCAGCCUAUUUCCAUUUUGUUCACUGAUGCAAAAUCAUCUCCUCUGAAGGACACGCCUAGGAACCUACUUCCUGACUCUGAUGAUCUGCUAAUAUUCAAUGCUUUUCACCUGGCUUCUUGCUUGCCUCUCUGGGACCACAUGUGUUGGAUUCUCCGGGCCUGGAGCCAGAGGUCUGGGUGAAUAUCUGUGCAUUUCUGAGUUGACUGAAAGGCUGCAGCAGCCGUAGGCGAAGAAAACCAGGCUGCCUGAGCUCCAUGUUGUUUUUGUCUAGAAUCCAAGUUCCCUCACACUCCACAUGGCUCUUUUCAGUAGAGGAGCCUCUAGCUUUCCGAACUUGGCGUCCCCGUGGAGAGAGCACUAUGUCACUUCACGAUUCUGCCCACUUGCUGUCCUGGAUCUCAGACCUUGCUUUUCAGCAGACUUUGGGUGGGUGUUUGACUUUCUUUUUGGCGAGACAGAGGAAAUGAGCAAGUAUGUGAAAACCUUCGAAUGGCCACUCCCUAAAAGCAGCAAGAAACUCCAGAGAGUCCCACAGACUCUUGUAAAAUGCAGCCUAGAGCUCAGGGAAUGUCUGGAUUUUCUCCCUAGGGAGCUUUUUCACACUUUGGAACAUCCUUGGAGGAAACCACAGGCAUCUGGAAGGCCCUUCUGCAACAGGAGACAUGAGGAGAAACUACCUUCUGACCUACCUCAAUGUUGGAGGCAUCUGUUCCGUUUGCACUUCUCCGCUUCCUGCCCCGUUUGGGGUAGCCAUUGAUCUUACACUCAUAACAAGCCUCGGGGGAGAGAGAAUUGUCAUCCAUUUCACCGCUGGCAGGUGGCUCUGGGCCUCCUCGGCCCAUGCCGAUUCCAGAAACACAGUGCCUGUGGAAGAAGGGAAGCACAGCCCUUUUUCAUUAGAACUGGGAGAUGAGGGAGGUGGUGCAAGAGUUCUGGUGAAGUGUGGACCCCACCUGGUGACACUGAGACAUUGGUUAUUCGUCCAUUAGGUGACUGGCUGGUUCUGAGAGCCACACUGAAGUCCUCUGUGUUCAGGCUCUGAGUCCCAGUUCCUGGAGUGGAUUCCUUUCUACUAUCUCUCAAGCUAGAGGAGAAGGCAUUUUAAGUCAAAAGAGAAUCCUGCUUGCCUCAGGAGAAGGGGAGAUCAGUAAUAUGCAGUGUGAGUCCAGUUUUGUCAUGGGUCAGCCCCUGCAUUUCUAGAGAAAUGAAUCACUUCCCAACAAGAUGCGAAGAUCAAGAGAAUGAGAUAGAGACAUCAUAUAUCAAGGGAAAACCAGAAGACACUGUGUGUGUGACACCGGCCAGACGUCUCUACUGGGGACCGCUGGCCAGCUGGCUCUCAGCCAGCACUCAGGAAGAACUCCCAGCCAGAGAUGAUCUUCAUGGGGCCAAAGGAGAGCCUCCAGGCAACGAAGACAUGACCUGUCCAUCUCCACUAUUCCUGGACUAAAGAGGGUGAUAAUGAAGAUUUUGACAGUCACACAGAUUAUCUCCACCAGGAAUUACCAGCUGCAUCAAGCUGAGGCCCCUACCCACCUUCACAGCUGGCGCCACUCUGAU